UACAGAGGGUGCGAGCGUUGUUCGGAAUUACUGGGCGUAAAGCGCACGUAGGCGGCUACUCAAGUCAGAGGUGAAAGCCCAGGGCUCAACCCUGGAACUGCCUUUGAAACUAGGUAGCUAGAAUCUUGGAGAGGUCAGUGGAAUUCCGAGUGUAGAGGUGAAAUUCGUAGAUAUUCGGAAGAACACCAGUGGCGAAGGCGACUGACUGGACAAGUAUUGACGCUGAGGUGCGAAAGCGUGGGGAGCAAACAGG
rnacentral:rRNA from 1 species